UUUGAGCUUCAGUCAUAUGUGGGACUUUGACACUUGGUUAAAUACGAAUUACUUACUAGUUGCUUAGCUAAAAAAUGUUUAAGUAUUGCAGGACAAUAAUGCAGGACAAUUUUAUUUGAAAAAUUAAUACUUUUUGUCUCAAUAUUAGAGUUACACUGUGAAUGAAUUUGUUUUUUUCUUUUUGGCCCUUCUAAGUAGGCUUAGGGUUCCAAGAGAUUUGUGAGUGAUAUUAAUGUGCUGCAUUUCAUUUUUUCAUAUUUAAGGCUGAUUUGUUAGUAAUGGCUGAGAAGUGUGUGGAGUGGGCACAUUCAUCUGUAGGGAUGAAGCUAGUUAAGCCACAGUGUGGACGGACGAGGAUCCUUCCGCUCUGGCUGCUCUGUCCACCCACAAAGACGGGCUUAUCGUCGUCUACUUUGUUAUGAGCAUUGCUUUUAGAGCGCCAAGCCAUCUCUCAUGAAUGUCCUCGAGUCUUCGGGAAUAAAAAUAACUUGAUUAUUCUUUCUUAACUACUUUUCUUUUGCAGUGGAAUAAUAAGCAGAAGUGUGGCUUUAUUCAAGGAAUCAUUUUUUAAGUUUGUAGCAGCUACUCCAUUGGUAAACCAUGCAAGCGAUGGGUGGAUGGCAUGCGCAGCACCACACGUUCUGUGUAGUGGUUCACAGCUUGGGCAACGCUAAAGCUCUUCUGUAGUGUGAAUCAAUUUUAACUAAAACUUACAAGCUUUUUUUUUUCUUUCAAGCUUUUUUUUUCUUUUUUUUUUUAGUACCCUAAUUACUUCUUGUUUAAGAUAGAAUCAUUGCUAUAAACAAUAUCUUUGUACUGUUCCAUUUUUCCCUUGUAGUUCAGCUUUUUAAAGACCAGUAUUUCUAUUUCAUCAAGAAUUGAAGAAAAAUUAUUUAUUUUAUUUUUUCCCAUUAGUGUAGGGUAACAAUUCCUAAGUUUUGCCAAGAAAAUAGAGCAUGUUCUAAAGCCCCUUUUGAUUUUUAUAUAUUAAAAUCUUUGAAAAGAUCCUUGGUAAAGAUGUUUGAUAGCUUUGUUUAAUCCAGAUUUCCCCAAAUUUACUCACCUCCACCAUC
rnacentral:lncRNA from 1 species